rfam:Blumeria graminis f. sp. hordei DH14, WGS project CATH01000000 data, contig: 011624
UGACCUCGAAUCAGGUAGGGAUACCCGCUGAACUUAAGCAUAUCAAUAAGCGGAGGAAAAGAAACCAACAGGGAUUACCUCAGUAACGGCGAGUGAAGCGGUAACAGCUCAAAUUUGAAAUCUGGUCCGGUUACGGGCCCGAGUUGUAAUUUGUAGAAGAUGCUUUGGUAAUGAGUCCGGCCUAAGUUCCUUGGAACAGGACGUCAUAGAGGGUGAGAACCCCGUAUGCGGCCGAGUACUCAGUGCCAUGUAAAGCUCUUUCGACGAGUCGAGUUGUUUGGGAAUGCAGCUCAAAAUGGGUGGUAAAUUUCAUCUAAAGCUAAAUAUUGGCCAGAGACCGAUAGCGCACAAGUAGAGUGAUCGAAAGAUGAAAAGCACUUUGGAAAGAGAGUUAAACAGUACGUGAAAUUGUUGAAAGGGAAGCGCUUGCAACCAGACUUGGGCACUGUGGAUCAUCCGAGGUUCUCCUCGGUGCACUCGGCAGUGCGCAGGCCAGCAUCAGUUUGGGUGGUUGGAUAAAGACUUGUGGAAUGUAGCUCCUUUCGGGGAGUGUUA